GGGGGGAUGAGGGCACGGAAGGGAUGGGCACUGAGAUGGGAGGAUGGGGCACGGAGGGGUGGGCACUGAGAUGGGGGGAUGUGGACAUGGAAGGGAUGGGCAUUGAGAUGGGGGGAUGAGGGCAUGGAAGGGAUGGGCACUGAGAUGGGGGGGUGAGGGCAUGGAAGGGAUGGGCAUUGAGAUGGGGGGAUGGGGCAUGGAGGGGUGGGCACUGAGAUGGGGGGACGUGGGCAUGGAAGGGAUGAGUGUUGGGGGGGGUGAAGGCAUGGAAGGGAUGGGAAUUGAGAUGGGGGGAUGGGGCAUGGAGGGGUGGGCACUGAGAUGGGGGGUGAGGGCACGGAAGGGAUGGGCAUUGAGAUGGUUGGGUGAGGGCAUGGAAGGGAUGGGCACUGAGAUGGGGGGACGUGCACAUGGAAGGGAUGGGCACUGAGGAGGUGCUGUGCUGGAAGCAGGGCUUGGCGCAGACCCGAGCAGCCGCGGGGAGGGGGCGGUGGCACAGCCACGGUUGGGUGUCGCCUUCUUUUGUGUUCUCCUGACUGGGACGAGCCGUGGUGCCGCAGGGCCGUGCCCCGCGGUCACGCAGUGUUGUCCAACACAGGUACGGCUGCAGCUGCUUGGCACGGUGGGAGCUGGGGGGCACACGGCGGCGCGGGCGCCAGGCAGAACUGUGUGCCCACCGUCCAUCUCCAGGCCCGGGGGGAGGACGGGGCAGCAGGAGGGUAAGGAAGGCUCUUUGGAAAUGGCAAGAAGGCGUUCAGCUUCCCGGUCCCAGACCGAACGUCCUGCAGAAUAGUUUCGCUCUGCAGUCUUCUGGCCCCUCGCGGAGAGGGGCGGCUGCAGGCGGGGGUCUCUGGGGGUCGCCCCAGAAGCAGCUGCGGAAGGGGCAGAGACCCGAACUCCUCGGACGGGGCCGGAGGAGCUGCCUGCACUCAGGGCAACACGGAACACUCCAACCUGUGCACCGAGCAGCGGGGGCUCAGGGCUGUGCCGGGGGGGUGCCGGGCAGCGGGACUGCGCUGCUCCCUGGGGUGGGGGCUGCCGGGGUCUGCGUUACCUGCAGGAGUGGGGAGAAGGGAAAUGGGGAUGGGGUUGGGAAUGGGGAUAAGGAUGGGGAUGGGGAUGGGAAUAGGGAUGGGAAUUGGAAUAGGGAUGGAGAUGGGGAUGGGGAUGGGAAUGUGGACAGGGAUCGGAAUGGGGAUGGAAAUAGGGAUGGGAAUAGGGAUGGAGAUGAUGGAAUAGGGAUGGAGAUGGGGAUGGGGAUGGGAAUGUGGACAGGGAUCUGAAUGGGGAUGGGAAUAGGGAUGGGAAUUGGAAUAGGGAUGGAGAUGGGAAUGGGGAUGGGAAUGUGGACAGGGAUCAGAAUGGGGAUGGAAAUAGGGAUGGGAAUAGGGAUGGAGAUGAUGGAAUAGGGAUGGAGAUGGGGAUGGGGAUGGGGAUGUGGACAGGGAUCGGAAUGGGGAUGGAAAUAGGGAUGGGAAUAGGGAUGGAGAUGAUGGAAUAGGGAUGGAGAUAGGGAUAGGGAUGGGAAUGUGGACAGGGAUCGGAAUGGGGAUGGAAAUAGGGAUGGGAAUAGGGAUGGAGAUGAUGGAAUAGGGAUGGAGAUGGGGAUGGGGAUGGAGGAGGUGGGAGCAGGGUGCAGGUGCCGGGCUGCAGAACCAAGCUGGGCAGCCUCGGCUGAACCUGCAGAGGUGCAGGGGUUUGCAGCACGACGAGCUGCGGCACGCAGGACAGCGCAUGAGUGACAGGUGUGGGACAUGCAGCAGGAGAGCACAGCGUGGGGCGCGCGGCCGAUGGAGCAACAGCACAGAAGCCCCACGGCGUUCCCGCAGGAAGCCCCAUGGGCAUUCCCACAGCACAGCGGGGCGGCCCUGCAGAAGCAGCGCGAGGGGCGGAAGGGUGGGUGGGUGGUCUGCAGAAAUCCCAGUGCUCUGCAGGGUUUGUGGCAGUCUGCAGGGCACAGGGCUGCGGCCAUGCAGCGAUGCAGAGCGCCCACAGGACGCGGCCGUGCCGCCUCGCCAGGCGUGGGCUGAUGGAACAGAAGCAGCACGAAGGAAGGUUGGGGUUGUGGGGAACACACUUGGCUCCCACACGGCUCCGAGAUCCGGGCACUGCAGAGCAGCAGGCGAGGACGAGAUGCACGCAGAGCACGGGGGACUGCAGAGCAGCAGUGGCUGCCGCACGUCUGAGGUGCAGGACCGCCUCUGUGCGUGAGCAUGCGAGAAAGUCUGGUAACCAGAGGGCGCUCACUCAUGCCAGGGUGGGCACAGGGGGUGCAAUGUGGGUGACGGGGGGCUGCGGGGAGCUGAGGAUGAAGGGUGGGGGCAAUGAGAUGCUUGUGUCAGAAUGCAGAGAGACCAUGAGGAGGGACUGGGGAGCGUGGCGGGGUACGGGGGGCGAUGGGAGCGCGGUGGUGGGGCUGGAUGGGACCAGAGGUGGUAACAGCACAGGGUGGGAUGUGGGCACACGGCAGCGCAGCAUCGGCACACACAGGAGGAUGGGCGCAGCAGCAAAGCCGGCCAGCAAGGAGGCGGCCUCGGGUGGACGCGAUGGCUGCAGCCAAAGCUGGGACGCCUCCCGGCUCCCCCGGUAUUGGGCGGGAGGCCCGGAGCACCCUGGGUAUCUACAGCGGGAUUUUUGCUUGCAGAAUAAGAAGGUACAGGUUGGGAGCCCCUUGCCUUCCCCAUGCAAGCGCUGGGGCGUCGCACGGGGAGGGAAGAAGCGCUGUGGAUACACAGAAUUCAGUGGUUUCCGGAGAGCUCUGGAUGGAGCCGCACGGGCCGAGAGCUCAGGGUAAGGAGACAGCACCGCAGCCGCCGGGGCCCAAACGAGGGGCUCAGCCGGGGGCCGCGCACAGGGGAAGGGGCCGCAGCCCCAGCCCUGGGCCUUCCACUGGCUGAAGGUUGUAAAGGUUCGUAGAUGUGUGAGGGUCAGAAGGAACCUCCUUGUCCUUCCCUCUAGCACCAGAAGAGUUAAUGCCUUCACGGGGGACUCGGCUUUUGGGGAACACCGGUCACCAAGCCGUCCCCUGGCCACCCCUGAGCCUGGGCGCGCGAUGCCGGCGAGGGGAGCGCAUGGGGUGCGGGAACGGGAGCGGGGCUGCUGCCCCCCAGCACCGGGGCCGCUCCAGGCCGUGGGUCUGCGGGCUCCCCGGCACCGGAGGGAGAGCAGCGCCCGGGGAGCGGGGCCUGGAAGCUCUCCACCUCCAUGCGGCUGCCUCUCUGCCUGCGGGGAUGGAAGACGUGGUGUGUCCCAAAAACCGAGCGGAUUCGUUGCUUCGUGUUUCUAAAUCUUUAAAAUCCGGAGCGUCUGAAAGGAGCUGUUGGGUUUUUUUUUUUUUUUAAGGUUUUUUUUCUUAAAAAGGCUCUUUUUUUUUUUUUUUCUUUUUUUUUUUUCUUUUUUUUUCUUUUUUUUUUUUAACAUUCAUUCAGUCAGUCGCUAAAAAGUCCCACGAGCGAUGGGCAUCCUGGGGGAGGGGUGCGGGCACCGCCUCGUCAGCAUCUCAACACGUCUAGAGAUAAAUAGAUUUAGUAAAACUAUAACAAAAUCGGGUGGCUAUAGCUAUAGAUAUAGAUAUAUAGAUAUCUGUUCUCUCUUUCCAAAUAUAUAGCUGAUCGAUUGAUUAAAAAGAUGCAAAAUAAGGAUGGCAAGGACAGAGUGGGAAUCCUGUAGGUCAGAAUCGUCUCUUGUAGAUCAUCAGCUGCUCUCUAUAUAAAUGCACGGAGAUUAAAUAUUACCCAUCAACGCGUCCCCUUGGAAACAAGACCCCAAACCAAGAGGAAACCAAACACCUCCCCCCACCCCCCACCCUCACCGUUGGCAAAGCGUUUGCUGCUGGGUCCCCACCAGCCUCCCUCGACACCCCCCAAACAUGCUUCAAUCCAUGCGGUUUCGGUCCCUCUCCUCUCUCGCACGGCUCCGGUCUGCCGGGAGAGCCGGACGAGGGGCUGCGGGGCGAGGAGCGGGGCGGGAGCGGGGCGGCCCCCCC
rnacentral:lncRNA from 1 species